rnacentral:rRNA from 1 species
UGGUGGGUAGUUUGACUGGGGCGGUCUCCUCCCAAAGCGUAACGGAGGAGCACGAAGGUUAGCUAAUCCUGGUCGGACAUCAGGAGGUUAGUGCAAUGGCAUAAGCUAGCUUGACUGCGAGCGUGACGGCGCGAGCAGGUGCGAAAGCAGGUCAUAGUGAUCCGGUGGUUCUGAAUGGAAGGGCCAUCGCUCAACGGAUAAAAGGUACUCCGGGGAUAACAGGCUGAUACCGCCCAAGAGUUCAUAUCGACGGCGGUGUUUGGCACCUCGAUGUCGGCUCAUCACAUCCUGGGGCUGAAGUAGGUCCCAAGGGUAUGGCUGUUCGCCAUUUAAAGUGGUACGCGAGCUGGGUUUAGAACGUCGUGAGACAGUUCGGUCCCUAUCUGCCGUGGGCGCUGGAGAAUUGAGGGGGGCUGCUCCUAGUACGAGAGGACCGGAGUGGACGCAUCACUGGUGUUCGGGUUGUCAUGCCAAUGGCACUGCCCGGUAGCUAAAUGCGGA